rnacentral:rRNA from 1 species
GACGAACGCUGGCGGCGUGCUUAACACAUGCAAGUCGAACGGUAAGGCCUCUUCGGGGGUACACGAGUGGCGAACGGGUGAGUAACACGUGAGUAACCUGCCCUUGACUUUGGGAUAACAUCUGGAAACAGGUGCUAAUACCGGAUAUGAGCUCUUUCUGCCUGGGGAGGGUUGGAAAGCUCCGGCGGUCAUGGAUGGACUCGCGGCCUAUCAGCUUGUUGGUAGGGUAACGGCCUACCAAGGCGAUGAUGGUUAGCUGGCCUGAGAGGGUGGCCAGCCACACUGGAACUGAGAUACGGUCCAGACUCCUACGGGAGGCAGCAGUGGGGAAUCUUGCGCAAUGGGGGAAACCCGGACGCAGCAACGCCGCGUGAGUGACGAAGGCCUUCGGGUCGUAAAGCUCUGUCAGAUGGAAAGAAUUAACUUGCUGAAAAUAUUGGCGAGUGAUGACGGUACCAUCAGAGGAAGCACCGGCUAACUCCGUGCCAGCCGCCGCGGUAAAAC